GGGUCAAAGUUUACUCAAUGAUGAGUCCGCGGUGAGCCGUUCGGGACAUCACUAGUCAGGAUGUUUUACUGAAGCCUGAAUAGGCCCAUACUAAUUAAGGCAAAACCUUGCAAUUCAGUGUGGAGCCAUUCGGACUUUAAAAUGUAGAUAUAUCUGCUAAACAGCGAGCAGCCAGCCACUAUAACGAAAACUCAUGACUGCGCAGCUAUUGCUGCCUCGUUAUUAAAAAGGGCGAUUGGUGGGAGCUGUGGGGAAUCAAGGCAUGCCCCCAUAUAUAUAUUACAGACAUAGAGUGGACAUAUGUUUGUCACCACCUCCCUUACCGAUAGGCUGCGGGUGUGCGAUAUUAAAUAAUCUGGGAGGGCCGACAGACAGGCACCCUCCCUCCAACCACGGUCAUCCAGUUGGAUAAUUAAUUGGUUAAUCUAAUGGGGUAUACAUACCAGUAGCCCUAUUAGUUGGGAGUGACAAAUGGGGACAUACCUCCCUCCCAAUGCAAAUGGGGAGAACAAAAGCAUGCCCCAUGUUUUUUUUUAUC